AAUGCAGACUUAUUUUGCUGUUUAUGGACAAGUUGUGUGAGUGAGAUUUAAAAAAAAAAAAGGUUGCAAUAAGCUUCCAUUACUUUUUAGCUCCAUAAGCCCUGCAGUGGAGUCAUUAGCUCAGAAGUGAAAGCCAGCAUCGUGGCUGGAUAUAAAAGGAAUAUUAUAGUGGGCCUAAAGGAGGACCUUGUGGGAAAUUGUGAGAAGUGUAUGAUGCUAAACUGCUAGUUGCUAGCUUCCAUUACUUGCUAGCUAUAUUAGCCUAGUAGUGUAAACAUAUAUCAGGAAUUACAGGGACCUCAAAAGAGAAUAUUGAGAGUGCUGUGUUGUGCAUGUUUGAAUUGAUAAUUUAUUCAUGAACAAUGCAAAACUGAUAGCUCAAAUAUUCCAGUACUUAAUAUCUAUGUUAGCUGCUUAUUAGCUACAUACCACAAGACCAAAACUAAAGAAGUAGAUGCCAUACAUUGAACAUGAGCAUGUCUCUCAGAUGUCCCUGAGAUUCAGAAGUGUGUGUGUGUGUGUGUGAGAGAGAGAGAUUUUUUUGUUUUCUUAAGCUUUGAUGGUCACCUUUUAACCUGUUUUUACAAACACGGGUACUGAGAAUAGCUUCUAAAGAGACUCUUAGUGACCACAAUGUCUGACAAACAGAGAGAGAGCUAAUCCUUCAGCCACCACUCCCUACACACACACACACACACACACACACACACACACACACACACACACACACACACACACCUGUCCAAACAAGGACAGUCAUUGUUGAGAGAGAUUGAGGACAUAAACGAGUGACAGAUGGAUCACUUCUUUUCAGCUGAAGAGACAAAGAAAGUCAGACAAGUGCAUUAAGAACAGUCACUUUGUGAUGAUUUUCCUAUAAAAGCACAUCCCCAAGUAUGCUAUUCCUCAUACCACAGCAAUUUACAAACAGUUAUAUUUUACAUUACAAUGAUUUUCUAAUUUAUGUAUUUGAAAUAAUGACAUAUCAUAAUUUUUUAUCUAUUUAUAGUUUAAUUUAGUGAAACAAUUUAGUUCCUGUUCUCACUUGUGUUAUAGCAAUGAUAAACAGCCGUUCCCCUACCAGCUUCUUUUUUGUCUCUCUCUUGAAGUUUAUAAGUCAGCAACAACAACAACAACAACAAACUAGUUUGUCCUGUUACUGAGAAACCACAAAAUGUAAAAUCCUCUGUCCUGAAGAUGUCAGAAAACUUAGUUGUAGCUUUACCUCUGAAUGUUACAAAGUGUUGACACUGGAGACUCCUUCCAUAAAUGCUAACUAAACCUCUCCUUACAGAAAACUUCACCACAUCAACAAUUACACAUAUUCUUAAUCCGUUUACAUCGGCUGCCCCCAGCACAAGUCCAUGUGAAUGUGCUGUUACUAUAGAAAUGAUAACAUAUUAGACAAAGUGCAUUAAUAUAAACAUGGGACUUGCAGCCGCACUACUGUGAGAACUGCUAUUAUAGAAAAUUCAGCACCUUCUGAUCAAUCACAAUAUACAGUACCAGUCAAAAGUUUGAACACACCUUCUAAUUCGAUGUUUUUUCUUUAUUUUUUAUGAAUUAAAAGACACUUCAUAUCUUAAAGUAAUGAUGGAUGUCGUUUCUCUUUACUUAGUUGAGCGGUUCUUGACAUAAUAUGGAUUACUACAGCUGUGGAAUAGAGCUAUUUACUGUAUUAUUAUUAUUAUUAUUAUUAUUAUUAUUAUUAUUAUACUGUUUGAUCUCAAAUGCAAGAAAUUAAGAAAGCAACUAAUUAACUUUUGACGAGACACACCUGUUAAUUGAAAAGCAUUCCAGGUGAUUACCUCAUGAAGCUGGUUAAGAUAAUGCCAAUAGUGUGCAAAGCAUCAUCGAGGUAAACACUGGAUACUUUGAAGAAUCUAAUAUUUUACAUAUUUUGUCUCUUUUUUAUACUUUUCUGUUUAUCACAUAAUUCCAUCUAUGUUUCAUGUGUUAUUUCAUAGUAUUGAUGUCUUCAGUAUUGCUCUACAAUGUAGAAAAUAGUCAAAAUACAGAAAGACCUAUGAAUGAGUAGGGGUGUCCAAACUUUUGACUGGUACUGUAUAUGUAUGUACAGUAACACAGUGUAUUAAUAUAGUGUGUGAAUAUAAAUGCAAUAUAACUGCAGUUUUUGGUCUGCUCACAAUUACUUUCUCUUCUAUUUAUACACUUUCUAUUUUAUUCUCAGCAUUUUUAAAAAAAAAUUCUGUGUGGAGGCUGUGCAGCCCUGCAGUGCCUCUUCCUGAUGUCUCUCGGCCUUGUGUCAGCGUUUCCUCACGGCAUCUCGUACCUUUUGCCCCAAUGCAGAUUAUUUUGAGAUUUCUGAUCUGAAGAAAACCUUCACCAUGAUGACCGAGAUGAGAUGAGAAAAUAACUCCUACAAGAUGGAGGGAUGAAGUGUAUAAUUGAGUGCCCAGGAUUCUCUUACAGCAGCAUUAUCAGACAGACAGACAGACAGACAGACAGACAGACAGACAGACAGACAGACAGACAGAUAGAUAGAUAGAUAGAUAGAUAGAUAGAUAGAUAGAUAGAUAGAUAGAUAGAUAGAUAGAAAUGGCAACAGAAAGAAAAAUAAAUAAUGUAGUAAUAAUAACAGUAUUAACUGAUUAGUGUGAGGGGCAGAGUAAGAGGUUUAAGAAGAGGGGCAGGGUUAGAAUAUGGGGGAUGUUUUAAAAGGGGAGGAGUUAAAAUUAGGCGAAUUAAAAUGAACUUUUCUUAAGAUUAAUUAUAAAUCAUAAAGUAAUGAGCACAGGUGAGGGGUGUAUGUGUCCUCUGACAGGAAGAGAAAUUUAGAAAUGCAGGAAAUACAAAUGCAGAAUUAAUUAAUUACCCAACCCUGUGUGUGUGUGUGUGUGUGUGUGUGUGUGUGUGUUCCCUGACAGGAAGAGAAAUUUAGAAAUGCAUGAAAUACAAAUUCAGAAUUAAUUAAUUACCCAACCCUCUGUGUGUGUGUGUGUGUGUGUGUGUGUGUGUGUGUGUGUGUGUGUGUGUGUGUGUGUGCCUGCCCUGACAGGAAGAGAAAUUUAUAAAUGCAGGAAAUACAAAUUCAGAAUGAAUUAAUUACCCAACCCUCUGUGUGUGUGUGUGUGUGUGUGUGUGUGUGUGUGUGUGUGUGUUGAUUGGGUCAUCAAUAAUAUUUUAGUGCUGUGUCAUUAUCAGUGAACUUACAUGGUUAUUAAUUAAUUCCUAUGUUCGUGUUCAUUCAUCAGCAGGAGCUCAACGCUGAUUAAUGACUACUCCAGCUAACGCUAUGAUAAUUCCUCAAAGCAAGUGACUCCUCCCCCAGCAUCCAGCCCUCCUCACUAAUGCUAAGUGAUCACAAUGAAUGACUCCUCAUCUAGCACACAGCCCUGCUCAUAUACAAUCCUCUACAAACUUCUCACUGUGUGAAUGAAAUUCAAUGAAAAUGCUAAUGCUUGUGUUUUAAUAUUUUGAUCAAAAUCACAAAGAGGAACAACAGGAAGACAUCAUCAAAAGAGAACCAGGUCAUCACACACAGUCACAGGACAGGCCUCAAACCAAUUCAGUCCACCCCUCACUCUAAUACCACCCCUCACUCUAACCCCACCCCUCACUCAAACCCCACACAUCAUUGUAAUCCAACCUCUCACUUUAACAGCACCAAUCACUCUAAUCCCACCCCUUAUUAACUUCAUCCCUAAUUUUAACUCCACCCCUCAAUCUAACUCAUCACUCUGACCCCAACUCAAAUAAUAACUUCACCACUCACUCUAGCCCCACCUCUAUCAGUCUGACCUCACCCCUCAGUGCAAACUUGGCCUUCACAUUAACCCCACCCUUCACUCUACCCCCACCUCUCACUCAACCCUCAAUCAACCCCCACCCCUCACUCUACCCCCACCCCUCACUCAAUCCCCAGCCCUCACUCUACCCCCACCCCUCACUCAAUCCCCACCCCUCACUCAAUCCCCACCCCUCACUCUAACCCCACCCCUCAAUCUAAAUCUGCCCCUAAUCUAACACCUUCUAAUUUAUCCGCUUUUCUUUCCUCCUAAUUUUUCCCAUUAUUAUAUCUUGAUAAUUGACAUGCAAACAUUUAAUAAAUAUAAACCCGGCCCAUUUAACCAUACAUCCCAUCAUAACUCCACUCCCCACUUUAACCCUCGAACAUACAAAUAUUUAGUUGCAUACAUAAUAAUUAAUAAUUCAGAUAACUAAUAUGCAUUAAUUUAAAAAUGUAAAUCAAAUAAUCCAAAAGGUGGCACGGUGGUGCGGUUGGUUAGCACUGUCGCCUCACAGCAAGAAGGUCCUGGGCUCGAGCUCAGCAGCCAACGAGGGCCUUUCUGUGUGGAGUUUGCAUGUUCUCCCCAUGUCUGCGUGGGUUUCCUCCGGGUACUCCAGUUUCCCCCACAGUCCAAAGACAUGCAGGUUAGGUUAGGUUAACUGGUGACUCUAAAUUGACCGUAGGUGUGAAUGUGAGUGUGAAUGGUUGUCUGUGUCUAUGUGUCAGCCCUGUGAUGACCUGGCGACUUGUCCAGGGUGUACCCCGCCUUUCGCCCAUAGUCAGCUGGGAUAGGCUCCAGCUUGCCUGUAACCCUGCACAGGAUAAGCGGCUACAGAUAAUGGAUGGAUGGAUAAUCCAAAAAUGGUAAUAAUCCAAAAAUGGUUUUAAACAUAAGAAAUACAUUAUAUUUUGGCUGUAUACUGUCAAUUAGUAAAGAGAUAUAACUACUAAAGGUUUUAACCCUCCAUCUUUUUUAAUCUCUGCAGUGCACUCUUGCUAAAAGCUUCUGAAACUUCUUAGAACUUUGUGCCCAUUUCCUGUAGAACCACCCAUUGCACGCGCACACACACACACACACACACACACACACACACACACACACACACACACACACACAGAGAGAGUUUUUAUCUCUCAGCCUUCUACAGUGUGAAUUAAACUCUGUGCCUCACACUCUGAAGCUCAUUAUGCCACAGUGUUCCUACUUCUCUGAUGCUCUAAUCACUCAGGAUUAGUUCUUCAUGGCUGGCUGAAGUAAUUCCCUCUGAUACAGGUGUUCGUCUGGGAGUAAAUUUCCAUCCGGAUCUGCAGGGAUGGUGUUCCUCUCCACCCCGUGAGAACAUUCCAACACAAAACACAUCCACUUAAUCACACAGGAGAUGGAGAUGUUUUAUGUCUCUCUCUCUCUCUCUCUCUCUCUCUCUCUCUCUCUCUCUCUCUCUCUCACAGACACACACACACACACACACACACACACACUGCAGGAAUGGAAUCUUCAUUAGGACAUUAGGACAAGAUCAAGUUCUGAUUUAUGUUUCAGCUUCAGAAGAACCAAUGAAGAGCCUCAGUUGUGAGGAGAAACAUCUUCAUUGAUAUUAUUCAUCUUCAUUAAUUAUAAACUCUACUCGCUUUCACUCACUAAUCAUACAUCCUGAUUAGCACACACACACACACACACACACACACACACACACACACACACACACACACUUUUUUUCAUCCAAAUUUAGUCAUGGCCAAUUCCCACCCACCACAUAGCUCUCCCUUAUCACAUGACAGCUAUCACAUGACCAACCAGGGAGGGUGGCGGCUAUCACAUGCUUCCUCUGAGGCACAUGACACCAACCGACCACAUCUUCUCACUUAUGCAAUGUUAAAGGGCAGCACAGAAUACUUGGAAGAAAAUGCUAUCCGCCCAUUUCCGUAUGCCUGAUAUCAGAGACACCCAUGAUUGGCUAGCGUAACUGUAAUUGACAGGGAAGAGAGAAUAUCCCAUCCCUCCCUCUCCAAGAGCACAGGCUAAUUUUUUUUAACGGAUGGCUGUGGCAUCAUUGGGAUUUGAAUAGACGACAAACAUCCACAAUUUUACACACACACACACACACACACACACACACACACACACACACACACACACACACACACACACACAGCUCAUUAGCACACUUCGACAUUUCAAAGUUCCACUUUGAAGUGUGUGUGACAAAUUUGAGACUUUUCUAUUCGUCUAAAUGUGUUCUGUUCAUCUACAUGGUUAAUGUUUACUCAUCAUGUUUUUCCCCCCACAAUAAACCUCUGAUUGAAGUGUGUGUGUGUGUGUGUGUGUGUGUGUGUGUGUGUGUGUGUGUGUGUGUACUACAGGAAUACUCUGAUCUGCUCAUGUUUAAAAUUCUCCUCAUUAAACCUUGACAGUGAUUCCAGAGCAGCAUCUGGAACAUUCUGUACACUGACUGAGAGAAAAUAUCAUCUAAAUAAGUAUUCUUAAACACACAGAGAUCAUAAAAUUGUAGAGGAAAUUAAAGCACACUUUUACUAAGUUCCUAGUCAUGAGCCAUGCCAGUUAUUGUUAAUAGUACUAAAAAUACUACUAUGUAUUAUCAUUACUAGUAUGACUAUUACUACUACAAUUAUUACGAUAACUUUUACAACUACUACUACUUCUAUUACUACUGCUAUUACUGCUACUAUUAAUACUAAUAUUACUAUUACUGCUGCUACUGCUAGUUCUGCUACUAUUACGACCAGAGGUGAACCGUCAGGGCCUUCUAGGCCUUCAGAGAAGGCCCAAACAUAUCAGCAUUUCAAAUGUUAUAUUUAAUUUAUUUCACUCUGUCAUAAUUUCAUUAUAAUUAUUGUCUUCUAAUUCAAACCUGGCCUCAUUUUCUAUCAAAUUUGCUUCAGAAAUGAAAGGUUACUGUCCUGAAAACAUUUAAAUAGAGUUAUCCAAUGAGAUUUAUUUGUUUGCCGUCUCUAGGCUGAGAAGAGUUUAGAGCUGCUCACUCAUUGGUUAGGACUUCAUUGCCAGGACAAAAGACCAUAGCAGAGUAUGUUUAUGUAGGAAGUGACAGAUGAAUUAACCAAUAAGAUUUUGAUUUACUGUAUAGUGGGAGGGACCAACAAUUUAUUGCCCUAGGCCUUUUCAAAGGCUAACGUGAGCUUAACCAUGAAUCAGUGCUGUCAGCGCUGCAGUGAAGUAACCUUCCAGCUGGUGCAGUGUUCAUCAGUGGUGUUAGUGAAUGCUAAUAAAGCAGUCAAGCUAGUGUUAUCGAGAGCAAGUAGCACAGGCUAACAACUGAGAAACUAAGAUUUCUGUCUCCAGACUCUUCUUCUACACACACUCGCCACAGUGUUUUUCACUCAGACUUAAAUAUUGAUUUCCCUGUGUAAUUUACUUACUUACUUUUAAAACCAACAGCAACAACUACAUUCAACGGAGCUACCUGGCAGCCUGCUGCUAAUCCCUUGCAAAAUCCUUUGUCUUGUUGCUUUACUGGUGUGUCUGGCUAAGUUUGGGCUGAGCUGAAGUCCCAGUUCUAAUAGUAAUGGUUCACCACUGAUUACGACUACUACUACUACUACUUACUGCUGCUGCUGCUACUAGACAUUUCAGGUGUACAAAAGACUCUUUUUCCAGAGGAUUUAUAAUGUAUUAAAUGUAGUAUAAUAAAAUAUUCAAAAUGUCUACUUAAUAUUAAACCAAAGUGCUAUUAAAAUUAGGUACUGUCGCAUCUGCACCUGCUCUUAGUUCACAGCAGCCUUCAAGCAUGGCAGCCGCGGACUACAACAACCAUGCUGCACCUCACUGCUGUCAAUCUCCAGAGUACUGAUUGUCACACACACACCUGUUCUUGAUCGCAGCCUCAUCACCACUCUGCAUAUAAGCACUCUCACAAAGACUUUGCAAAAUUUAUUUGCCAGUUUUGCUGCAACUACUGCUCACACAUCUGUCUGUCCCCUGCAUACAGACAGUUCAGUACACGCAACCACAAUCAUGGAAAAGACUGCUGACUUGACAGUUGUCCAGAAGAUGAUCAUCGACACCCUCCACGAGGAGGGUAAGCCACAGAAGGUCAUUGCUGAAAAGGCUGGCUGGAAAAGGUGCACAAGCAACAGGGAUGACCGCAGCCUUGUCAAGAAAAGUUGAUUCAAGAACUUGGGAGAGCUUCACAAGGAGUGGACUGAGGCUGGUGUGAGUGCAUCAAGAGCCACCAUGCACAGACAGACAUCUUCAGGAAAGGGGCUACAACUGUCACAUUCCUAAUAUCAAGCCACUCCUGAACCAGAGACAACGUCAUAAGCAUCUUACCUGGGCUAAGGAGAGAAAGAACUGGGCUGUUGCUCAGUGGUCCAAAGUCCUCUUUUCAGAUGAAAGUAAAUUUUGCAGUUCAUUUGGAAAUCAGGGUCCUAGAGCCUGGAGGAAGCAUGGAGAAACACAGAAUCCAAGGUGUUUGAAGUCUGGUGUAAAGUUUCUGCAGUCUGUGAUGAUUUCAGGUGCCAUAUCAUCUGCUGGUGUUGGUCCACUAUGCUUUUCCAAGUCCAAAGUCAAUGCAGCCAUCUACCAGGAGAUUUUAGAGCACUUCAUGCUUCCAUCUUCAGACAAGCUUUAUGGAGAUGCCGAUUUCCUUUUCCAGCAGAACGUAGCACCUGUAUUGCAAUUUGUAACACAAUCCAUAGUGUUUGUAGCUAUGUGUGACAUAAUUUGUAGAAAUUUGUAACAUAAUUUGUAACAUAAUUUGUAACAUUUGUAACUAUUUGUAACACUUGUGACAUUUAGAUUGCUUAUGUAACAGCAGGAUAAGGUUUGUCUGUAGCUCUCAGUAAGCUGUAUGAAUUCGGUCCCUCAUUGCUGUGCCCUACAUUGUGCACUAUGCUGAAUAGUGAAGGAGUGAGUGAAUGAUUAAUUACUGACACAGUCACUCUCUCACAGGACUGAAAUCAGAAAGAAGUGUAUCUUACCUCUGAAAGGUCUCUUAAGUGGCACUAAAAGUUCCUCUCUGCAGAAUUCCUAAACUGUGAGGGUGGAGCUGAUCCUGCCAAUGCGGAUGAGCAGAAUGAACUUGUAUUUCAGUGAUAGUCCUGUCAUAAUCCAGAAGAUAAUGUAAAAGUGAUUAUGGUAAAAAAAAAAAAGGGGGGAAAUGAAGAGGUGAAAAACCAGUGCAAUGUUGUGAGAGAUUGAUGUUGAUGUUGAUCUUGAUGUUCAUUUUCUGGAAUUUUCUGUUUCUGUCUUUCCAAUUUAUCAUAUGUUUACAUUUUAAUUUGUAUAAAAGAGCAGAAUGGAA